rnacentral:rRNA from 1 species
UGCCAGCAGCCGCGGUAAUACGGAGGGUGCAAGCGUUGUCCGGAUUUAUUGGGCGUAAAGAGUUUGUAGGUUGUUUUAUAAGUCCGAGGUGAAAGAAUGGAGCUCAACUCCAUCCUCGCCUUGGAAACUAUAAAACUAGAGAGUAUUAGGGGUAAGUGGAAUUUCCAGUGUAGCGGUGAAAUGCGUAGAUAUUGGAAAGAACACCAGAGGCGAAGGCGGCUUACUGGGAUACUUCUGACACUGAGAAACGAAAGCUAGGGUAGCGAGAGGGAUUAGAUA